AUUGAACGCUGGCGGCAGGCCUAACACAUGCAAGUCGAGCGGGGUUUUCGGACCUAGCGGCGGACGAGUGAGUAAUGCGUAGGAAGCUACCCGAUAGAGGGGGAUACCAGUUGGAAACGACUGUUAAUACCGCAUAAUGUCUACGGACCAAAGUGUGGGACCUUCGGGCCACAUGCUAUCGGAUGCGCCUACGUGGGAUUAGCUAGUUGGUGAGGUAAUGGCUCACCAAGGCGACGAUCCCUAGCUGGUUUGAGAGGAUGAUCAGCCACACUGGAACUGAGACACGGUCCAGACUCCUACGGGAGGCAGCAGUGAGGAAUAUGGGACAAUGGGCGCAAGCCUGAUCCAGCCAUGCCGCGUGUGUGAAGAAGGCCUUCGGGUUGUAAAGCACUUUCAGUAGGGAGGAAGCGUUGUGUGUUAAUAGUACACAGCGUUGACGUUACCUACAGAAGAAGCACCGGCUAACUCUGUGCCAGCCGCCGCCGUAACAC
rnacentral:rRNA from 1 species